CACACCCUGCGGGGUUUGGUUUUUGCACUGGAAUUUCUUGUCCCAUAAUAACCUAAUUGGGAGUUGACCGUUUGUGUUGUGAGCAUGUCCGCUCGACGGAAAGCCUAAUACGCAAACAGAUUCGCCCACCUUUUGCUCUGGGUCAAGGGCAACGGUGCAGUCGGCUCACGCGGGGGGUGC
rnacentral:other from 1 species